GCAGAAAUGGUGGAAUGGUAGACACUGGAGACUUAAAAUCUCCUGGCCCUUACCGGCCGUGUGGGUUCGAGUCCCACUUUCUGUACCA
rnacentral:tRNA from 1 species